AGACUAAAACAUAAACAAAUUUUUAAAUGGUUUUAAUGUUGGUUUUGUUGAAAAAAUAAAAAGAAAAUGAAUAAAAGAAAAAAAAAGGUGAGAGGUACUGUAACAAAACCCAGAAGAGUUCAUCGUCUUCAAACUCCCCCUUACGCCUCUCAACCGCGCUUCUCUCGAAAUCGCUUCUCCCAAUCUCGCUCUCUCUCGUUAAAACCCUCUCUCUCAAUCGCACACACUAGCCUCAAUCGUUCCUCUCUUCGUGUCACUUUCAC
rnacentral:lncRNA from 1 species